rnacentral:rRNA from 1 species
UAGGGAAUCUUCGGCAAUGGACGAAAGUCUGACCGAGCAACGCCGCGUGAGUGAAGAAGGUUUUCGGAUCGUAAAACUCUGUUGUUAGAGAAGAACAAGGACGUUAGUAACUGAACGUCCCCUGACGGUAUCUAACCAGAAAGCCACGGCUAACUACGUGCCAGCAGCCGCGGUAAUACGUAGGUGGCAAGCGUUGUCCGGACUUAUUGGGCGUAAAGCGAGCGCAGGCGGUUUCUUAAGUCUGAUGUGAAAGCCCCCGGCUCAACCGGGGAGGGUCAUUGGAAGCUGGGAGACUUGAGUGCAGAAGAGGAGAGUGGAAUUCCAUGUGUAGCGGUGAAAUGCGUAGAUAUAUGGAGGAACACCAGUGGCGAAGGCGGCUCUCUGGUCUGUAACUGACGCUGAGGCUAGAAAGCGUGGGGAGCAAACAGG